rnacentral:rRNA from 1 species
GAUGAACGCUGGCGGCGUGCCUAAUACAUGCAAGUCGAGCGAACGGACGAGAAGCUUGCUUCUCUGAUGUUAGCGGCGAACGGGUGAGUAACACGUGGAUAACCUACCUAUAAGACUGGGAUAACUUCGGGAAACCGGAGCUAAUACCGGAUAAUAUUUUGAACCGCAUGGUUCAAAAGUGAAAGACGGUCUUGCUGUCACUUAUAGAUGGAUCCGCGCUGCAUUAGCUAGUUGGUAAGGUAACGGCUUACCAAGGCAACGAUGCAUAGCCGACCUGAGAGGGUGGUCGGCCACACUGGAACUGAGACACGGUCCAGACUCCUACGGGAGGCAGCAGUAGGGAAUCUUCCGCAAUGGGCGAAAGCCUGACGGAGCAACGCCGCGUGAGUGAUGAAGGUCUUCGGAUCGUAAAACUCUGUUAUUAGGGAAGAACAUAUGUGUAAGUAACUGUGCACAUCUUGACGGUACCUAAUCAGAAAGCCACGGCUAACUACGUG